ACUGCCAGGACGGGUCCGAUGAAGCCCACUGCCCCACUCGAGGGCCUCUGCUCUGUGUGAACGGGACUCGCUGCUCUGACGGGGAAGCCUGCGUGCUGGACGGCGAGCGCUGCGACGGCUUCCUGGACUGCUCGGACCACAGCGACGAGGACAACUGCAGCCUGGACAGCCGGGCCUAUAAAGUCCAGAACCUCCAGUGGACCCCUGACUUCUUGGGUGCCAUCACCCUGACAUGGUCCCGCCCCAAAAACCUCCCUCUGGACUCCUGCUACUUCCUCGUAUACUACAGGUGAGCUUCAGCAACCUUUUGCUCCAGCUGGCAUAUUAUUUUACACCCUCGGUUUAGUAGCAUAACUACUGAGGGUACCAGGUAAUAAG